CAUACCAUUUGCAAAAGAAGACAACCCAAAGUAUUGCAAAUAGGGUAUGUUCAGUCUUUUCUAGUAGCCACUUAGUGACAAACACUGGCCAUAUUUAGUGUUCAUAUUUUUUUUCAUUUUUAACACACAAACAAAAAUAAAUGCUAACUUUGGCCAGUGUUUGUGACUAAGUGGCUACUAGAAAAGACUGGGCAUACCCCAUAUUGAAUACCCUGGGUUGUCUACUUUUCCAAAAAUAUAUGGUUUG
rnacentral:miRNA from 1 species